UACGAAGGGUGCAAGCGUUACUCGGAAUUACUGGGCGUAAAGCGUGCGUAGGUGGUUUGUUAAGUCUGAUGUGAAAGCCCUGGGCUCAACCUGGGAAUGGCAUUGGAAACUGGCUUACUAGAGUGCGGUAGAGGGUAGCGGAAUUCCCGGUGUAGCAGUGAAAUGCGUAGAUAUCGGGAGGAACAUCCGUGGCGAAGGCGGCUACCUGGACCAGCACUGACACUGAGGCACGAAAGCGUGGGGAGCAAACGGG
rnacentral:rRNA from 1 species